AUCGAACGCUGGCGGCAGGCCUAACACAUGCAAGUCGAACGAGUGGCGGACGGGUGAGUAAUGUCUGGGAAACUGGCCGAUGGAGGGGGAUAACUACUGGAAACGGUAGCUAAUUACGCCAACUAUAGGAGGAGCCCAGAUGGGAUGAGCGCGUAGGUGGGGUAAUCGCUCACCUAGGCGACGAUCCCUAGCUGGUCUGAGAGGAUGACCAGCAACAUUGGACCUGGGACACGGGCCAGACUCCUACGGGAGGCAGAGUUGGGGAAUAUUGCACAAUGGGCGCAAUCCUGAUGCAGCAAGGCCGCGUGGAUGAAGAAGGCCUUCGGGUUGUAAAGUACUUUCAGCGGGGCGGCGUUACUCGCAGAAGAAGCACCGGCUAACUCCGUGCCAGCCGCCGCGGUAAUAC
rnacentral:rRNA from 1 species